GACGAACGCUGGCGGCGUGCUUAACACAUGCAAGUCGAACGGAAAGGCCCUGCUUUUGUGGGGUGCUCGAGUGGCGAACGGGUGAGUAACACGUGAGUAACCUGCCCUUGACUUUGGGAUAACUUCAGGAAACUGGGGCUAAUACCGGAUAGGAGCUCCUGCUGCAUGGUGGGGGUUGGAAAGUUUCGGCGGUUGGGGAUGGACUCGCGGCUUAUCAGCUUGUUGGUGGGGUAGUGGCUUACCAAGGCUUUGACGGGUAGCCGGCCUGAGAGGGUGACCGGCCACAUUGGGACUGAGGGAGGGCGCAGACUCGUACGGGAGGCAGCGGUGGGGAGUAUUGCACAGUGGGCGGGAGCGUGAUGCAGCAGCGCCGCGUGCGGGAUGACGGCCUUCGGGUUGUGAACCGCUUUCGCCUGUGACGAAGCGUGAGUGACGGUAAUGGGUAAAGAAGCACCGGCUAACUACGUG
rnacentral:rRNA from 1 species